AAUUUGAAAUCUGGCCUCCUCCGGGGGUCCGAGUUGUAAUUUGUAGAGGAUGCUUCGGGUGCGGCCGCCGUCUAAGUUCCUUGGAACAGGACGUCAGAGAGGGUGAGAAUCCCGUCUUGGGCGGCCGGCGCGCGCCCGUGUGAAGCUCCUUCGACGAGUCGAGUUGUUUGGGAAUGCAGCUCUAAGCGGGUGGUAAAUUUCAUCUAAAGCUAAAUACUGGCCGGAGACCGAUAGCGCACAAGUAGAGUGAUCGAAAGGUUAAAAGCACCUUGAAAAGGGAGUUAAACAGCACGUGAAAUUGUUGAAAGGGAAGCGCUUGCGGCCAGACUCGGGGGGCGGGGUUCAGCGGGCGCUCGUCGCCCGUGCACUCCCCGCGUUCCCGGGCCAGCAUCAGUUUCGACGGCCGGUCAAAGGCCCCCGGAAUGUGUCGUCUCUAGGGACGUCUUAUAGCCGGGGGUGCAAUGCGGCCCGUCGGGACUGAGGAACGCGCUCCGGCUCGGAUGCUGGC
rnacentral:rRNA from 1 species